GCUAGCAUGGUUUAGUGGUUUGAGCAUUGGACUAUGACUCUGAAAACCAGGGUUCGAAUCCUGGAUCAGCC